GGAGAGGUGGGUGAGUGGCUGAAACCACAUGUUUGCUAAACAUGCGUACGUGUUAAAGCGUACCGGGGGUUCGAAUCCCCCUCUCUCCGCAA
rnacentral:tRNA from 2 species